rnacentral:tRNA from 1 species
GCAGUAGUGUUUCAGUGGUAGAAUUCUUACCUUCCAUGUGGGAGACCUGGGUUCCAUUCCCAGCCUAUGUA